GACAGGUGCUGCAUGGCUGUCGUCAGCUCGUGUCGUGAGAUGUUCGGUUAAGUCCGCUAACGAGCGCAACCCUCGCUGUGUGUUACAAGUGUCACACGGAACUGCCGGUCAUAAACCGGAGGAAGGUGGGGAUGACGUCAAGUCAGCAUGGCCUUUAUAUCCUGGGCUACACACACGCUACAAUGGGAAGGGACAAUAGGUUGCGAAGCCGCGAGGCGGAGCCAAUCCAGCAAAACUUCCCUCAGUUCAGACUGCAGGCUGCAACCCGCCUGCAUGAAGUUGGAGUUGCUAGUAAACGCAGGUCAGCCAUACUGCGUUGAAUACGUUCCCGGGGCUU
rnacentral:rRNA from 1 species